rnacentral:rRNA from 1 species
UACGUAGGGUGCGAGCGUUGUCCGGAAUUAUUGGCGUAAAGCGCGCGCAGGCGGUCCCUUAAGUCUGAUGUGAAAGCCCACGGCUCAACCGUGGAGGGUCAUUGGAAACUGGGGGACUUGAGUACAGAAGAGGAAAGCGGAAUUCCACGGUGUAGCGGUGAAAUGCGUAGAGAAUGUGGAGGAACACCCGUGGCGAAGGCGGCCACCUGGACCAGACCUGACGCCUGAGGCGCGAAGGCCGGGGGAGCGAACGGG